CUGCGGCGCAUUAGCUAGUUGGUAGGGUAACGGCCUACCAAGGCGACGAUGCGUAGCCGACCUGAGAGGUUGAACGGCCACAUUGGGACUGAGACACGGCCCAGACUCCUACGGGAGGCAGCAGUGGGGAAUAUUGCACAAUGGGGGAAACCCUGAUGCAGCAACGCCGCGUGAAGGAAGACGGUUUUCGGAUUGUAAACUUCUGUCCUUGGUGACGAUAAUGACGGUAGCCAAGGAGGAAGCCACGGCUAACUAC
rnacentral:rRNA from 1 species